UUCAUGGAUUCUACAUUUCCAUUUCUUCAUCUCAAAAACUUCGGGAAGACAUAAAUUGUUUUUCUUCCUCGACUUGUAAUGUUUGUAUGUUUGAGACAUCAUAAUAGCUUGAAUGUAAACGGCUGAAUCUCUAUACAAAGUUAUGUAGAUUUUGGAACUGAAUCUUUGUAGAAUUGAGCUUUAUUGUGCGGUUGUAUUGUGGUCACUUAGCUCAGGUGGCUCUAUGCAUACAUCAAAUAUCUUUGAACACCAAAGUUAACUGCUCACCUACCGCAAGAAGUUUCCUACUCCCAUUUUCAACCUUUUUUCCAAGUGGAUUUGGUUUCCACGAUUCAUAUUGCAGAUAAGGAGAUUUGAGACUGUCACCUACAUGCUGCAGGUAUAGAGCUAUAUUGCUGACCUACAUGCUGCAGUAGGGAUUGGUCAUCACCACUCAGCCUACUCGGAUCCUUCCAUUCGAGACCAAAUACGAGAUGAAGUGCAGCAAGAAGUGUGGGGCCAAAUGCAGCAAGAAUUACUUGAGCAAAGACGCGAGCAAAAACUAGAGAUGGAAGAGGUGAUGAAGCGGUUUAUGUCCAAGCAACCCCAACAAUCAAGUCACACGUUGAUGCUGAUGACUGAUGAUGCUACUAGUUAAAAUUGAUGUCUCACAAACUAACUUCUAAACUAGCUACUUUAUGAUUCAUACGUUGGUUAUGUUUUGACGAAUACUUUUGAGGUUUAUCUAUCAUGAUUCUCAUUUUGUUGGUCA